GAGACAGGAUCUCAAAAUGUGCCCCACGCUGGCCUCGCUGUCUUCUCAGGUGCUGGUAUUACAGGUAGGCACUGUCAGACCAGCUAGCUGUGUGUGUGUGUGUGUGUGUGUGUGUGUGUGUGUGUGUGUGUGUGGUGCAUCUGGGUGCACAUUCAGGUGAAUUCAGCUGUUCACACCCACAACAUGGGUGUGGAGGUCAAAGAUUAAUGUCAAGGGGUAUGUGAGUGUCUGUCUGUGUGUGUGUCUGUGUGUGUGUGUGUGUGUGUGUGUGUGUGCCACAGCACACAUGUUGAAGUCAGGACAAAAUUCAAGUUAGCCCUCAUCUUCCACCUUGUAUAAGACAGGGUCUGUGUCUUGCACACCCCAGGCUACCUGGCCCACAGUGUUCCUGGGGAUUCUCCUGUCUCUGCUCCCAUCUCACCAGAGGAGCUGGGAUUACAGACAAUCGUGUGCUACUCUGUCCAGCUUCGAGUGGAUUCUAGGGACCUGAGCUCAGGUUUUUACAUUUGGGUGUCUGUACUUACAGAGCCAUCUCCCCAACUCCUGAUCCAGCAUUCUGUUAUUUUCUUUAUUAACCUGCAACACAAGCUAUGUCAGGGAAGAAGCCUUCAUAGAGCAAGCCUGACUAUAGGUGCACUGAGCUGUCUGUCCCUUAGCCCCAGGAGAGGGAGGCUGUUCCCUACUGUUACCUGGCAGAAGGCUAAAGGUUCCCACCCAGUCCUGCUGUGGUGGCAGGGGAUCCUUGACCAGUCAGUCAUCACCAUCUGUGACAGCCUCUGCAGCCACCCAGACUACCUUGUAGGCCACAGUGGCUCUCCUCUGCCUACCUCCUGCCUAACAGAGCCUUUGAGAUGCCCCAUAAAACUACAGGGUUCCUACAACUGCAGAGAAGCUACCCUCAGAGCACAUAUGCAUUACAUCAUCUAACUUCCACUGUUGUAUAGUAAAGCAGUCGUUAGAGACAGUUAGAGACAGAUGUGGCAGAGACCACCUGGCCCAGGGACCUCCGAGGCAGGCAGUCAAGCCACACUGGGACACAGAGUCACACUUCCUUCCUUCUUCCAUAGGAGAACCUGCGAGAGUUCUCACAGCUGGUCGGAGAGGGCAGUGUCCCAGCUUACAGAGACGUGGUGGAGCACAGUACAGUGGCUCAGCUGGAGGGGAUGAGGGGAAUCCAGCAUGAAGACAAGGGGGCACCUGCCUGUUCAUCAACUGGGAGUUCCAUCAUGAAAGCUAAUCGAGUAUUCGCCAAGCUAAUGAGGAACGGUUGAGCCAUACACAGAUACGUCCUGGCCCUGUCUCUCAGUUCUGGGGAAAGCCCUCCUUGAGGCAGGUUGUCCCUUAACCUUCCUGGGACAUGCGCUGUGUGGCAACCUGGAGAAGCAGACAGAGGUGUUCGAAUGAGCUCACCUGGCUGGGAAGGUGCCGGAACUUUGAACCAGGACUCCAGGACACGUCCAGACUCUUCUGGGAUCGCCCAUGUUGCCAUCUCUUCCUCUUCCCAGAAAUCUAGUGGGUGGCUGUGGACCAAUUCCAUCUCAAGCUACCUGUGUCACUGCUGCCAGGCGCAGGUGAAGAAAGAAAGCUGUCAGGGUCUCCAGGCCUGCCAGCUCACGUGGACACCAGGCUUGCUCCACAUGCAUUUUGCAUUGAGUGUUAUUUGUAUAGCUGCUACUGGGAUCAUUUGAGAACUCCAAGCUCCCAAAUCUAAAGGCAGCAGACAAAGGCGGUUUUCAUCCUGGUACAAGUACAUAAGUAUGUAUGAAGAAAAUGAAGAUACAAGAUAAAUAAUAAAGAUGAGAGGGUAAUAUGUUGGCUACCAUCUUCCAACUCCUAGACCAGGAGAUCAUAAUCUCUAUAUCUAUGCACCAGGCAGGCAGCAUGGACCUGGGACAGGCCUGGAGUAACCCAGAGAAGCACUAUAAGACUGCUAACUACAAGAUUGGACACGGCCCCGGACUUAGCUACCUUUCUAUCACUGUGACAAAACACCAUGACCAAGAUGCUGCCUGACUAUGGAGUUUCCACUGACAACUCGCUCGCUAAUUCCUUGCAUGGGAAAACUACAUCUUUGCUGUUCGUAAGUGUGGUCCUUUGAGCCAGCAGCAUCCAGCAAGUCACAGAGGCCCAUUAAAGAUGCAGAUCCUCUG
rnacentral:lncRNA from 1 species